UAAAGUUGCUAAAUUUCUCUGCACAAACCAUUAUCGGAUUAUGAAAACAAAUAUACAUGAGAAAUCACUACAACUCAUUUUGAUACACCAGUAAACUUAGUCUAACAACAAACUAAUAUCAACCCUCUAUUGAUCCACCCUCUCCCAAAUCAAAGCAUUUGAAGAUCAUCACUUGAUUGUUCAUAGCCAUUCUUAAAAUAAAUGAAGACAUUAGGAUUUGCUUACAGAUUUUGAUAUGCACAUAUAGGAAAGAGUUCUAUCAAAAAAAUGUAUUUGGUUCUUCGCAGAUACUUAAAAUGUGAAAAUGCAAUAAUGACUGGAGCACAUAAUAAUUGCUUAUAGAACUUGAAAAGAAAAAUCUAAAAGAACAUUACGUAGAACCAUCACAUUGUCACUCUUACUCCAAGAAAAGCAGAAGAGGUUCAGCACUUGAAGCCACAACUUAUGCCCAUGUUGGUCAAACUAACAAUUUUCUUUUCAAAGGCAUCCAACUGAAUGAAUGAACUCUGGUAUCCAAAGAUAAAAAAAACCAAGAUUUUUCUAAGAUGACCUAUAUCAUCUUCCAAGCAGUAGCUAUGAUAUAAUUUAGCCCCACGAAAAUGAGAACAAAAGCCAUGAUACUCCUUCAAACAACAGAGAUAAAACUAAAUCACCAACACUUAAAAGAUAGAGAAGACAGAAAUAUGCAUAACAAAUUUAAUAGAAAUGGUAAUUCAUUGAAGAAUUUAUUCAAACACCUAGAGAAGAGAAGACAUUGGUAGUAAUUUUAUACCUUCAAAAGCCACCACUAAUUAUUGGCACGUCUAAUUGCCAAAAUAAAAGCUAAGUAAACUGAUACUGAAAAAUAACUUGGAAAACUCUGCUAAAAGGGGAAAAUGGCAUAUCAAAAGAUACAAUCUAAGUCUAAGUAACUAAAGCUGAAACAUAUCUUGGGAAACUUAGCAAAAAGGAAAAGAUAAAAAAACGCAUAUAUAAAGACAUAAUCUUUAGAUGGAUUAAAUCAAGAAUUCAAGAAAUGAUCAAAAACAUUAACUAAACAUGGAUGAUUACUGUAAUUGAAUCUAUUAAUUUUAGAAAACAAGAAAAGAAUCAGAAUACUAUAAAUUAACAAUGGAUUAGCUGAUUUACAAAAAACUUUUGACUCUUACAUGAGAAUCACCGUAUAUUUUUUUUGAUUUGGUAACCUUGGCCAAGAUCAUAGUAAUACUCAAAAUACCAUCCAUAGAAGAAAAUCAUCCUAUAUAAUAAUUACCUUCAAAUAAGUAGAAAAUUCGAAAAAGAACUUCUCAAGCAGCAGUCGCUAUAACCCCUGAUUAGCAAACGUUGUGUUCUUCAGAGAAACCCAACAGGAAAACCAAACAAAAUAGCAAAAGAAGAUCGUUCAGCGGAGCAGACACGACAACUUAAGUUCGAAGUUCAUCGAGAAAAAGCUAAGGUAAUCCAAAA
rnacentral:lncRNA from 1 species